rnacentral:rRNA from 1 species
GAUGAACGCUGGCGGCGUGCCUAAUACAUGCAAGUCGAGCGAACGGACGAGAAGCUUGCUUCUCUGAUGUUAGCGGCGGACGGGUGAGUAACACGUGGAUAACCUACCUAUAAGACUGGGAUAACUUCGGGAAACCGGAGCUAAUACCGGAUAAUAUUUUGAACCGCAUGGUUCAAAAGUGAAAGACGGUCUUGCUGUCACUUAUAGAUGGAUCCGCGCUGCAUUAGCUAGUUGGUAAGGUAACGGCUUACCAAGGCAACGAUGCAUAGCCGACCUGAGAGGGUGAUCGGCCACCCUUGAACUGAGACACGGUCCAGACUCCUAAGGGAGGCAGCAGUAGGGAAUCUUCCGCAAUGGGCGAAAGCCUGACGGAGCAACGCCGCGUGAGUGAUGAAGGUCUUCGGAUCGUAAAACUCUGUUAUUAGGGAAGAACAUAUGUGUAAGUAACUGUGCACAUCUUGACGGUACCUAAUCAGAAAGCCACGGCUAACUACGUG